rnacentral:rRNA from 1 species
CACGUAGGGUGCAAGCGUUGUCCGGAUUUAUUGGGCGUAAAGGGCUCGUAGGCGGUUCGACAAGUCGGGUGUGAAACCUCCAGGCUCAACCUGGAGUCGCCACUCGAAACUGUUGUGACUAGAGUCCGGUAGGGGAGCAUGGAAUUCCCGGUGUAGCGGUGAAAUGCGCAGAUAUCGGGAAGAACACCCGUGGCGAAGGCGGCUCUCUGGGACGGUACUGACGCUGAGACGCGAAAGCGUGGGGAGCGAACAGG